CAACAGCUGGAUUUGGUCUUUCCCUUCUCGCAUUGUGUGAUAUAGUCUUUGCUUCAGAAAAGGCAACUUUUCAAACGAAGUUUGUGGAGUGGGGUCAUCCUCCAGUUGGAUGUUGCUCUCUAACUUUACCUCAUUUAUAUGGUCGUUCACAGCACGAAACUCGACUGCUACAUGGCAAAGGAAUGCAGAAUUGUCGCAGAAAUUUUAUCUUUCAAACAUUUGGAGAAGGAACUCAAUUAACGUUUGGCGAGAUUUUCACUAGUUUCUAGACAGUGCCUGCGAGACACAAAGACGUUGAUGGUCAGCAGUAAUAUGAAGAACUUCAGUUUAAAAAUCACGAGGAAUGCGAUUUGUUUCAAAAGUACAUCAGCAACGAUGAUAUUGUGGAUUGCAUCGUAAGUUGAUGGUGGACGAGCUUACAGGAAUGACUUACCAUCCAGGUAUACUUGCGAUCAGACUUAUGGCGCGUGCUAAUAUUUAUUGUACAAAUAGGAUAGUGUGUCCCAAUGAUCCGUUUGUAACCGUUACGCAGCGGAAAUUGUAUUCCUAAUGAUCCGUUUGUAACCUUUACGCAGCGGAAUUUGUAGCGUUGUUUGUGUAAAUCAUUCGUAACUUGAGUUGAAUAACAAAACAUAUUCGUUCAUUUAA